rnacentral:rRNA from 1 species
AUUGAACGCUGGCGGCAGGCCUAACACAUGCAAGUCGAACGGUAACAGGAAGCAGCUUGCUGCUUCGCUGACGAGUGGCGGACGGGUGAGUAAUGUCUGGGAAACUGCCUGAUGGAGGGGGAUAACUACUGGAAACGGUAGCUAAUACCGCAUAACGUCGCAAGACCAAAGAGGGGGACCUUAGGGCCUCUUGCCAUCGGAUGUGCCCAGAUGGGAUUAGCUAGUAGGUGGGGUAACGGCUCACCUAGGCGACGAUCCCUAGCUGGUCUGAGAGGAUGACCAGCCACACUGGAACUGAGACACGGUCCAGACUCCUACGGGAGGCAGCAGCGGGGAAUAUUGCACAAUGGGCGCAAGCCUGAUGCAGCCAUGCCGCGUGUAUGAAGAAGGCCUUCGGGUUGUAAAGUACUUUCAGCGGGGAGGAAGGGAGUAAAGUUAAUACCUUUGCUCAUUGACGUUACCCGCAGAAGAAGCACCGGCUAACUCCGUG